rnacentral:rRNA from 1 species
AUACGGGGGGUGCAAGCGUUAUUCGGAAUCACUGGGCGUAAAGGACGCGUAGGCGGGUUGGCAAGUCAGAUGUGAAAUCCUACAGCUUAACUGUAGAACUGCAUUUGAAACUGCUAACCUAGAGUAUGGGAGGGGGAGAUGGAAUUAGUGGUGUAGGGGUAAAAUCCGUAGAUAUCACUAGGAAUACCGAAAGCGAAGGCGAUCUCCUGGAACAUAACUGACGCUAAGGCGUGAAAGCGUGGGGAGCGAACCGGAUUAGAUACCCGAGUAGUCC